GGCCGAAUAGCUCAGUUGGUUAGAGCGUCGAGCUAAUAUCUGAUUAUGUCAGUUGUGACUCGAAGGUCUUGGGUUCGACCCCCACUUUGGCCA